rnacentral:lncRNA from 1 species
ACGUCAUUUUUGCAUUUGAAUGGUUUUUAAUUGUUUGAUGGGUAUUUUUGAAUUUUGGUGAUGAUGGGUAGUGGUUUUAUGAGAGGUUGUUGGUAGUGAUAUGUGGGGAGAUUGGACGGUGUGUGGUGUUUGAAACCGAGUGGGUUGCUGUUUAGAAUCCUUAAUUUUGUCUUCAAUGAGUUUUGACAAACCAAUGGCUUGGGAUAUGGAAUAAGGGUUCAAAAUGGCUAGCUCUCUACAGAUGUCUGGAUGUAACCCUGAAAUGAAACAAUUUAGUAUGGUAUUUGGCAUGAGACCCACUACGCAGUUGCAAAGCUUUUCAAAUCGACCUUGAUACUCAGUGACUAUGGUCGUCUGUUGAAGUUUGA